AUUUAACUUUUUUCUCCAGAAAUUUACUUUUUUUUCCAUAAUUUGAAUUAUUUAUUGUAUUUUACUUUUUUCUCAGAGUUGACUUUUUUUCGAAGCACUAAAUACUAAUCAACCUGAACUUGAGCAGGAUCGGCCUCUUUAAAAUGUUUCCUCCUUAAAUACAUCCCUUUAAUUGAUCAAAUAAGAUAGAUAAAAUAUAUAUAAAAUAUAAUAUAGGAUUAGGGAGUGAUAGGAGUCAGCAUGCCCCCCCGCGGCUGUGUUACCUGUGCAGGUGUGUUAGAGACAUUGAACGUUUCCCAUUUAUCUAAUGUCCGCCUCCUCGCUGUAUUAAUCAAAAAUGUAAUCAAUGAACUUGUUUCCUUCUUCCAUCCCUUUUUUCUGUUUAAUCUAAUUACUAACAACUUCUAAUCAUUUUACAUAGUUUAUGAUUUAUUUGGAAAAUCAAGUAUUUUUAAAGGUGGAAACAUUAGGGGCUAAACCAGGUCCGGGAAACGCCCCUGGUAAAACCUAAUGAACUGGGAAAAGUUAUCGGUGCAGGAAAAUAUUUCCCUAACAAUGUUUAACAAGGGACUCUCCUAUCAAACAGACAGGUCUCACAUCAACCAAUGAAACUCCAGCAUGCAGACCACAUGCUUCACAUCAGGACGUUUAUUGGCUGCUGCUCAGACCACAGGAAACACAUUCUGCCAAUCCUGGCUGCAACAAGACAGCCUCGUUGGAAACGCCCCCUCUGUAACUUUAGUUGUGAAAUACUCAUUGUUGUUGUGAUCAGACCUAUUCACCAUGAUAUCAUCUAGAAGACAGAACUGUAAGCACUGAGGUCUCCGCAGUCUCAAAGCUUUACAGGAAGAAGAUGAUCUUCCUCAUCCUGCAGCUCCUCUUCCUCACCGCCUGUGUCUCUGGAACAUUUGUAGUGAAUGUGACUCAGACUUUCUAUCAGGCAGAGGAGAACCAGAACAUCACCCUGGAGUGGACCUUCAGCACCAGAACAGACACUAACUUCAGCUCCAUUUCUACCAUCUGUCACCUGUUUAAUAAAAAGCUAAUCUCAAUACUGUUUGAACUCCAUGAAGGUGUUGAAACCCGAGUGUCUCAGGAUCCAGAGUUUACAGAACGACUCCAGUGGGACAAAGACGUCCUCACAGAAGGACGCCUCACAUUUCAUGUCUCCAGACUCAGGACCAAGGACUCUGGGUUUUAUGUGUGUGACAUACACACAUCUGAUGGGAGUAGCUCUAAGAAUUGCUGGCUCAACGUCACUGCUGCCUUGAAUAGAGCGGUGCAGGGAUGACGUAUUUACCCGGAAGUGAGCUGCUGGUUCCCUCGACAAAAAAGCAAUGGGAUUUCUCCAUAGGAUUUUGGAAAAGAGCUCGAAAUAAGGCUCCGCCCUCUACUGGACUCUAUGGGUACAGUGGGCUGUUGCUGAUCGGAGACCCAGCGGAAAAUACCUCCAGUCCAUCGGAAGCACCAGCAUCUUCUUCGACACUAUAGGGGAGGAACAGCAGAACGAAAACGACAACAACCCUUGUAAGAUACUUUAUAAAUAUGCAAACACAAACUACAAAUCCAAAAUUGCAUAUGUGUAAAAGGGGCUCAGAUUUACGGAUGUAAAAGAUAGUCUGGGACAGGGACGUGCACAGGUACGGGCUAAUGUUGCCCGGGCAACGGCCCGUUUUGCCUUUUUGGCUGACCUGCCCCUCUGGAGAGAGCGAGUUUGUUUUUCUUUUUUCUGUUGUGGCCGAAUCACCAUGAUGAGCCCACAAUCAGUAUUGUAGCGUCUCGCUGCGGGAAACACACUUUGUCAGUGCUGUCAUCUGCCGCUGCGUUAAGACCACCUCAGUGUCGGAUUUUGGAAACUUGAUUUUGAGUUCUCUCAUGGCAGUUAGGGUAUAAGGGACAAACCAGGGGACUUUACUUCCUCUUGAUACCGUUGGUUAUUUACAAAAAAACACCUAAAUAUAGCCUAUUUGUUGUUAUUGUGCUUCUGUCUUUCUGUGUCUUCUCAUCUGUAAACUCGCUCAACGGGUCGCUCGCUCUCUUUUCUUGAUCGCCCUCUCACGGGUGAACGGUUCACUGUUCCGCUUCAUUGUAGGAUUUCUGCCAUGUCUCUAACACUUUAGU